rnacentral:rRNA from 1 species
UGCAGUCGAGCGGUAGAGAGAAGCUUGCUUCUCUUGAGAGCGGCGGACGGGUGAGUAAUGCCUAGGAAUCUGCCUGGUAGUGGGGGAUAACGUUCGGAAACGGACGCUAAUACCGCAUACGUCCUACGGGAGAAAGCAGGGGACCUUCGGGCCUUGCGCUAUCAGAUGAGCCUAGGUCGGAUUAGCUAGUUGGUGAGGUAAUGGCUCACCAAGGCGACGAUCCGUAACUGGUCUGAGAGGAUGAUCAGUCACACUGGAACUGAGACACGGUCCAGACUCCUACGGGAGGCAGCAGUGGGGAAUAUUGGACAAUGGGCGAAAGCCUGAUCCAGCCAUGCCGCGUGUGUGAAGAAGGUCUUCGGAUUGUAAAGCACUUUAAGUUGGGAGGAAGGGCAGUUGCCUAAUACGUAACUGUUUUGACGUUACCGACAGAAUAAGCACCGGCUAACUCUGUGCCAGCAGCCGCGGUAAUACAGAGGGUGCAAGCGUUAAUCGGAAUUACUGGGCGUAAAGCGCGCGUAGGUGGUUUGUUAAGUUGGAUGUGAAAUCCCCGGGCUCAACCUGGGAACUGCAUUCAAAACUGACUGACUAGAGUAUGGUAGAGGGUGGUGGAAUUUCCUGUGUAGCGGUGAAAUGCGUAGAUAUAGGAAGGAACACCAGUGGCGAAGGCGACCACCUGGACUAAUACUGACACUGAGGUGCGAAAGCGU